UACGGAGGAUGCGAGCGUUAUCCGGAUUUAUUGGGUUUAAAGGGUGCGCAGGCGGUCUGUUAAGUCAGCGGUCAAAGCCCGGGGCUCAACCCCGGCCCGCCGUUGAAACUGGCAGUCUCGAGUUGGAGAGAAGUAUGCGGAAUGCGCGGUGUAGCGGUGAAAUGCAUAGAUAUCGCGCAGGACUCCGAUUGCGAAGGCAGCAUGCCGGCUCCACACUGACGCUGAGGCACGAAAGCGUGGGUAUCGAACAGG
rnacentral:rRNA from 1 species